rnacentral:tRNA from 1 species
UGCCUCAGUAGCUCAGCCUGGGAGAGCGCCAGACUGAAGAUCUGGUUGUCGCCUGUUCAAAUCAGGCCUGGGGCAU